rnacentral:hammerhead_ribozyme from 1 species
AUUCAGCUGAUGACUCCAAAAUAGGACGAAACGCGCGUCCUGGAU